UUCAGUGAAUUAAGUGUGUUUUGUAUCACGUGAUAGACUAUAACGUUUGUUCUUUUUUCAGUGUCCCAAGUGAUGCCUGCUGUUAAGGCUCAGAGCACCGACUGCAGUCCCAUGCUGCUUUACACCCAUGGAAAACCGAUCCGCGUAGGAUGCAAGCUAAUCUGUACGGGCUCGCAACACAAGGCGACAGUCACGCAAGAAGGUGUAGAGUGCACUAGUAUUACAAGUGAAGUUGCCGGCAAAAUGCAAAGAUAUUUGGGUUACUAUUGCCCUGUGGGCUGGUGCGAUGGCGAUAAUUGCGUUCUAAGUGGCCUUUCCGUGGAAUGCUGGAAUACAGAAAGCAGACGUAAAAAUUGACGUUAGAAAUUGUGCGGUUAUAUAUGUGUUG
rnacentral:lncRNA from 1 species